rnacentral:rRNA from 1 species
GUCUACAGCAAUGCUCCCCUGAGCAAGCCUGAUCCCAUCUGAUCUCGGAAGCUAACCAGGGUCGGGACUGGUUAGUACUUAGAUGGAAGACGACCUAGGAAGACCAGGUGCUUUAGGUG